UACGAAGGGGGCUAGCGUUGCUCGGAAUCACUGGGCGUAAAGAGCUCGUAGGCGGUCUGUUGCGUCGGCUGUGAAAACCCGGGGCUCAACCCCGGGCCUGCAGCCGAUACGGGCAGACUAGAGUUCGGCAGGGGAGACUGGAAUUCCUGGUGUAGCGGUGAAAUGCGUAGAUAUCGUGAGGAAGACCAGUGGCGAAGGCGGGUCUCUGGACAGUUCCUGACGCUGAGGCGCGAAGGCCAGGGGAUCAAACGGG
rnacentral:rRNA from 1 species